rnacentral:rRNA from 1 species
UGGGGAAUAUUGGACAAUGGGCGCAAGCCUGAUCCAGCCAUGCCGCGUGAGUGAUGAAGGCCCUAGGGUUGUAAAGCUCUUUCACCGGUGAAGAUAAUGACGGUAACCGGAGAAGAAGCCCCGGCUAACUUCGUGCCAGCAGCCGCGGUAAUACGAAGGGGGCUAGCGUUGUUCGGAUUUACUGGGCGUAAAGCGCACGUAGGCGGACUAUUAAGUCAGGGGUGAAAUCCCGGGGCUCAACCCCGGAACUGCCUUUGAUACUGGUAGUCUUGAGUUCGAGAGAGGUGAGUGGAAUUCCGAGUGUAGAGGUGAAAUUCGUAGAUAUUCGGGGGAACACCAGUGGCGAAGGCGGCUCACUGGCUCGAUACUGACGCAGGGGUGCGAAAGCGUGGGGAGCAAACAGG